rnacentral:rRNA from 1 species
UUCUGGUCAUUGAGAAGUAAAAGUGUAACAAGGUUCAAGGUGAACCUGCGGAAGGAUCAUUA